GAUGAACGCUGGCGGCGUGCUUAACACAUGCAAGUCGAACGAGGCACUUUAUUUGAUUUCCUUCGGGACUGAUUAUUUUGUGACUGAGUGGCGGACGGGUGAGUAACGCGUGGGUAACCUGCCUUGUACAGGGGGAUAACAGUUGGAAACGGCUGCUAAUACCGCAUAAGCGCACAGCAUCGCAUGAUGCAGUGUGAAAAACUCCGGUGGUAUAAGAUGGACCCGCGUUGGAUUAGCUAGUUGGUGAGGUAACGGCCCACCAAGGCGACGAUCCAUAGCCGACCUGAUAGGGUGACCGGCCACAUUGGGACUGAGACACGGCCCAAACUCCUACGGGAGGCAGCAGUGGGGAAUAUUGCACAAUGGGCGAAAGCCUGAUGCAGCGACGCCGCGUGAGCGAAGAAGUAUUUCGGUAUGUAAAGCUCUAUCAGCAGGGAAGAUAAUGACGUUACCUGACUAAGAAGCACCGGCUAAAUACGUG
rnacentral:rRNA from 1 species